rnacentral:tmRNA from 1 species
GGGGGUGAACAGGGUUCGACGGGAGUGAUAGAGGUAAUGGCAGCAGGCCGGAGUUGGUCGAUGGCUCCGUAAAAAUCGACCGAAAAUAAACAACAAAACUGUUGUUCCAAUGCAAAACGUUAAGCCUUUCAUUGCGUUUAACGUUAUGCCUUUAGCUGCUUAAUGCGGCUUCGUUUUACUCUAGACACCUGCUAUAGGGAUAAAACGUCAAGAGCAGGCUAGUUUUAAGCGGCUUGUGCCGUCAGUUUAAAAUGAAAUUAAAACGGCGCUGGUUUAUAAUGUAGUAUCGUCCGAUUAUGGCGUUAUAAACGAGAUAACUUUUCGGACUAAGCCUGUAGCGGCCUUACUAAAACAUUUUCGGACGCGGGUUCAAUUCCCGCCACCUCCACCA